GGGUGCAGUGGCGCAAUCUUGGCUCACUGCAACUUCUGCCUCCCAGGUUCUAGGAUUCUUCCAUCUCAAGCCUUCUGAGUAGCUAGGACUACAGGUUUGUGCCACAUGCCCAGCUAAUUUUUGUUUUUUUUUUUGGACGGAGUCUCACUCUUGUCGCAAGACUGGAACGCAAUGGUGCAAUCUUGGCUCACUGCAACCUCCAACUCCCUGGUUCGAGCGAUUCUCCUGCCUCAGCCUCCCAAGUAGCUGGGAUUACAGGCAUGCGCUACCAUGCCCAGCUAAUUUUUGUAUUUUUAGUAGAGACGGGGUUUCACCAUGUUGGCCAGGAUGGUCUCGAUCUCCUGACCUCAUGAUCUGCCCUCCUUGGCCUCCCAAAGUGCUGGGAUUACAGGCGUGAGGCACCGCGCCUAGCUGUGAGACCCCAUCUCUAUAAAAAAUUUAAAAAUCAGCCAGGCAGCCAGGCGCAGUGGCUCACGCCUGUAAUUCCAGCACUUUCGGAGGCCGAGGCAGGCGGAUCACCUGAAGUCAGGAGUUCGAGACCAGCCUGACCAACAUGGUGAAACCCCGUCUCUACUAAAAAUACAAAAUUAGCCGGGAAUGGUGGCUCAUGCCUGUAAUCCCAGCUACUUGGGAGGCUGAGGCAGGAGAAUCACUUGAACCUCGGAGGCAGAGGUUGCAGUGAGCCGAGAUCGUGCCACUGGACUUCAGCCCAGAGCGAAACUCCAUCUCAAAAAAAAAAAAAAAAAAUCCAGGCGCAGUGGCUCACGCCUGUAAUCCCCACAUUUUGGGAGGCCGAGGCGGGUGGAUCACGAGGUCAGGAGAUCAAG
rnacentral:lncRNA from 1 species